UUGAACGCUGGCGGCAGGCCUAACACAUGCAAGUCGAACGGUAACAGGAAACAGCUUGCUGUUUCGCUGACGAGUGGCGGACGGGUGAGUAAUGUCUGGGAAACUGCCUGAUGGAGGGGGAUAACUACUGGAAACGGUAGCUAAUACCGCAUAACGUCGCAAGACCAAAGAGGGGGACCUUCGGGCCUCUUGCCAUCGGAUGUGCCCAGAUGGGAUUAGCUAGUAGGUGGGGUAACGGCUCACCUAGGCGACGAUCCCUAGCUGGUCUGAGAGGAUGACCAGCCACACUGGAACUGAGACACGGUCCAGACUCCUACGGGAGGCAGCAGUGGGGAAUAUUGCACAAUGGGCGCAAGCCUGAUGCAGCCAUGCCGCGUGUAUGAAGAAGGCCUUCGGGUUGUAAAGUACUUUCAGCGGGGAGGAAGGGAGUAAAGUUAAUACCUUUGCUCAUUGACGUUACCCGCAGAAGAAGCACCGGCUAACUCCGUG
rnacentral:rRNA from 1 species